GCCAGUAGGAAGGCUGGGACCCGGGGCAAGGCUGCAGCCACCAAGCAGGCUCAACGUGGCUCUUCCAAUGUCUUCUCAAUGUUCGAGCAAGCCCAGAUUCAGGAAUUCAAGGAAGUGAGUACCCUAUCUCAAACAGCCUCUCACCCCAGGGAGACCGCUUCAUACCCCAUACACAAGCUCUUCUCCGAGGGUCAGUGGUCCUCGUUCACACCACCCGAGCCUCUCUCCCUUGCCUGCGUUCCCUGAAAGAGAUGGGGUUAGUAGCUCCCACCUGAAGGCUGUCUCCUCACAGGCCUUCAGCUGCAUUGACCAGAACAGAGACGGAAUCAUCUGCAAGUCAGACCUGAAGGAGACUUAUUCCCAGCUCGGUGAGUGGAUCCAUAGAUCGGCCUCCCAGUGACCCGUCUUGCUGUCUUCAGGGGCUUGCUCUGAAGGACACGGCCCCGCCCUUUCUCUCACAGGCUAGCCUCAGUUCAGUCACAAGUCCCCCACCCCCGACCUGCCCACAGCUGGAGCUGCCCCUGCCUCUCCCCUCACUGCCUGGGAAGUUGGGGGGAGCAGCCUGGGUCACCUCUAGUCCUACUUUCAUAGGGAGGGUAAGUGUCCCAGAGGAGGAGCUGGAUGCCAUGCUGCAAGAGGGGAAGGGCCCCAUCAACUUCACCGUCUUCCUCACGCUCUUCGGGGAGAAACUCAAUGGUGAGUUUGCAUCAGGUCUGAGUCUCCUUAGCCGGAGAGCAAGGAGUCAGUGGUCCUCGCCUGACCUCACCUGACCCCUGAGCCCCAUGUGAGGCUCUCAACUUAACUCACCUGAAACUUGUGGACUCUGUCUGCCCAUGGCCAACGCAGAGGCCGUGGAGCAUCCUGGACUGACUUAUUCAGGAAACAUCCACUUCCAAAUCAC
rnacentral:lncRNA from 1 species